CUUAAAGGUUAAUAAACUCUGCUGACAACCUGCCUAUCCAUGACAAACCCUGAGUCUUUUCAUGGGUGAUUCAGUGGAAAUAUUCUCCGGUAGCCAGAGGCGUGGCUUGCCUGGGCCUCUGGGUGCAGCUGCACAGACUCAAGCAGCCUGAAGGAAAGGUGACUGACAGUUAAUGAUCUGAAAAGAACUUGUCUCAACUCAACGUCAUUCCUGGCAUUAUCGAACAAAGCAAUAAACCUCACAGAAUGGAAGCUACAGUGUCCAGGGCCAGCUCUGCUAAGGUAACCAAAGACAGAGAAGGAGGCAAAAGUGACAGAAGAAACUCAUGGGAAACCAACAGAAAUAUAAUGGCUUUGGCAGAAAUGCAAUUAUCAAUUGGGAGCUUGUGAUGAAUGUUUUCUCAGUAUCCUAUGCUGAAAACAGGUAGAUACUAAUCCCUCCUUCAAGGGAGGGCUGUUGAGUAUUGAAUAAGAUAAAAACAUGGAAGCAAUCAGCACAAUGCUGAACAACAGAAGUUUCAACAUUCUGCCAACACAGUAACUCCUGGGAGAUUGGCACAGAAGAAGGCACAAGGAGAGCUUUUAUAUAACCAAAGAUAUUUUUGGACCAUGAAUUCGGAAAUUCUCGGAGCCACCCAUCAAUGCCUGAGCUUCAGUGAGUCCAUAUCCCAUGUCACCUACGGCAAAGGAGAAUCUGAGACUUCUGAAGAGUUUCUUGCUUCUUUCCUGUGGGGCAGUGACUCCACUUCCCAGCAGUAAUGGAAUAUCCUGAAUUAGCU
rnacentral:antisense_RNA from 1 species